rnacentral:rRNA from 1 species
GCGGGGUAACGGCCCACCAAAGCGACGAUCAGUAGCCGGCCUGAGAGGGUGAACGGCCACAUUGGGACUGAGACACGGCCCAGACUCCUGCGGGAGGCAGCAGUGGGGAAUAUUGCACAAUGGGGGAAACCCUGAUGCAGCAACGCCGCGUGAAGGAUGAAGUAUUUCGGUAUGUAAAGCUCUAUCAGCAGGGAAGAAGAAAGUGACGGUACCUGACUAAGAAGCUCCGGCUAAAUAC